rnacentral:rRNA from 1 species
AUUGAACGCUGGCGGCAUGCCUUACACAUGCAAGUCGAACGGCAGCACGGGAGCAAUCCUGGUGGCGAGUGGCGAACGGGUGAGUAAUAUAUCGGAACGUGCCCAGUCGUGGGGAUAACGUAGCGAAAGCUACGCUAAUACCGCAUACGAUCUAUGGAUGAAAGCGGGGGAUCGCAAGACCUCGCGCGAUUGGAGCGGCCGAUAUCAGAUUAGGUAGUUGGUGAGGUAAAGGCUCACCAAGCCGACGAUCUGUAGCUGGUCUGAGAGGACGACCAGCCACACUGGGACUGAGACACGGCCCAGACUCCUACGGGAGGCAGCAGUGGGGAAUUUUGGACAAUGGGCGCAAGCCUGAUCCAGCAAUGCCGCGUGCAGGAUGAAGGCCUUCGGUUGUAAACUGCUUUGUACGGAACGAAACGGUAGAGCUCUAAUACAGUUGCUAAUGACGGUACCGUAAGAAUAAGACACCGGCUAACUACGUA